rnacentral:rRNA from 1 species
GAGUUUGAUCAUGGCUCAGGAUUAACGCUGGCGGCGUGCCUAACACAUGCAAGUCGAGCGGCAGCGAGUUUUACACUGAAUUCUGGAAGCUUCUAGUUGAAAGAGAAGAUUUAUUCAAGAAUUUUGUGUAAAAUGUCGGCGAGCGGCGGACGGCUGAGUAACGCGUGGGAACGUACCCCAAAGUGAGGGAUAACGCAUCGAAAGGUGUGCUAAUACCGCAUAUGGUCUUCGGAUUAAAGCCUUCGGGCGCUUUGGGAACGGCCUGCGUAAGAUUAGAUAGUUGGUGGGGUAAUGGCCUACCAAGUCGACGAUCUUUAACUGGUUUGAGAGGAUGAUCAGUCAGACUGGAACUGAGACACGGUCCAGACUCCUACGGGAGGCAGCAGUGAGGAAUCUUCCACAAUGGGCGAAAGCCUGAUGGAGCAACGCCGCGUGCAGGAUGAAGGCCUUCGGGUUGUAAACUGCUUUUAUAAGUGAUGAUUAUGACAGUAACUUAUGAAUAAGGAUCGGCUAACUACGUGCCAGCAGCCGCGGUCAUACGUAGGAUCCGAGCGUUAUCCGGAGUGACUGGGCGUAAAGAGUUGCGUAGGUGGUUUAAUAAGCGAAUAGUGAAAUCUGGUGGCUCAACCAUUCAGACUAUUAUUCGAACUGUUGAACUCGAGAGCAGAAGAGGUAGCUGGAAUUUCUAGUGUAGGAGUGAAAUCCGUAGAUAUUAGAAGGAACACCGAUGGCGUAGGCAGGCUACUGGGCUGUUUCUGACACUGAGGCACGAAAGCGUGGGGAGCGAACCGGAUUAGAUACCCGGGUAGUCCACGCCGUAAACGAUGGAUACUAGCUGUUUGGGGUAUCGACCCCCUGAGUAGCGAAGCUAACGCGUUAAGUAUCCCGCCUGUGGAGUACGAUCGCAAGAUUAAAACAUAAAGGAAUUGACGGGGACCCGCACAAGCGGUGGAUCAUGCUCUUUAAUUCGAUGAUAACCGAUAAACCUUACCAGGUCUUGACAUCCUUGGAAUCUUUCAGAAAUGAGAGAGUGCUUUUUAAGAGCCAAGUGACAGGUGAUGCAUGGCCGUCGUCAGCUCGUGUCGUGAGAUGUUUGGUUAAGUCCAUCAACGAGCGCAACCCUUGUCAGUAGUUGUAUUUUUCUACUGAGACUGCCCCGGUAACGGGGAGGAAGGAGGGGAUGACGUCAGGUCAGUAUUUCCCUUACGUCCUGGGCUAGAAACGUGAUACAAUGGCUAGUACAAUGCGCAGCGAAGCCGCGAGGUGAAGCAAAUCGCAUCAAAGCUAGUCCCAGUUCGGAUUGUAGGCUGAAACUCGCCUGCAUGAAGUCGGAAUCGCUAGUAAUCGCAGAUCAGCAUGCUGCGGUGAAUACGUUCCCGGGUCUUGCACACACCGCCCGUC